rnacentral:misc_RNA from 1 species
UAGACUGCAAGAGCAGCUUUGGGAUAAUACCAGAAGGUACAAAGGUCCUGCUAAGAAUUCUUAUACCACUGCAAGUUUUAGACCUAUUUCUUACAGCAAUCCUAACAAUAGCAAUUCUGGUAAUAACUUCAGUUUUACAAAUGUUUGCCAACCCAAACCAAAAUUCUAGACCUAGUCAGCUAUACUCUUACCCUCCAAGACCACCUCUUGUUAAUUCUCUUCCUAAGCCAAAUUUUCCUUUGAAUAAAACGAUUACUAGCAAUAUUACCCUUGUUGUAACAGCCAAUUCUUCAGUCAACAAACCUUCCAAUCAACCUAAUUCAACUACUAAAACCAACCCAAGACCUUGUUACAAGUGUGGGGAGAAGUUUGUACCUGGGCACCUAUGUAAACCUAAGACUGCAAUGGCUGUGCAGAUUGAGGAAUUAGAAGGGGAAAAUGAGGAAGAAGGUUUGAAUAUGUUAGAGGAAUCACAGGAGUUGGAAAAUAUGGGAGAACCUAUGCUAUCAAUAUAUGCUGUGGAAGGGAAGCAAGGGAAUGAAACUAUUAAAGUCUUGGGGAAGCAUAGAAGUAGACAGCUGGUGAUUCUUAUUGACACAGGGAG